UUGUGUGUCCUUUGAGUGCAUGUAGAACAUAUCAAUGUGUGUAUUGAUCAGCUGUAGUGCAUUAAAUCAGUGCAGUACAAGCGCGCGCGCGAUGUGCACAGAGCUAGACCGCGCACAACCCGUCCCCCUGCUUGUUUUCAAGCUGAAUUAAAAACCUUUGAAAAGCGAAAAACAGACAACAGACCUUAUGACGGGUCCGAGCUGCAGGAUGUGCAGCAGAAGGGUGAGCGGCUUGUCUCGGCUCAGGUCCCGGUGGACGAAGGUGAGGGCCAGCUGCACCAGCACCGACGGCACCAGCGUGAAGAGCAGGACGGUGAACAGUGGGAAUUCUGCCUGGUCGGGUUGCAGCAGGUCCACCAGGAAGCAGACGGUGCCGGACAGGCCUUCGAACAGACUGUAGACGCUGGUCAACGAGCGCGAGCCUGACUUGAACUCCUCGGUGAAGAGGAACUCUGCAAACCUUUGGUGAGGAAGGAAAAAAAAUAAAUCAAUGAGGGGGAAAUAAAAUGGCAUCACUUUAAUAUUCGGUACACCUGCAAUACAUACGCUGUGAUAAUGCUAUCAUAAUGCACCACAGAAGUUCAAAGGCAGCCAUCUUUACACAUUUGAAGUAGUGUUUUAACAUUCAACUGCCAUACAAGUGUAAAAAGGCUGUAUAUUCAAACUAAACUAACCUAAAACCACUUGCCCUGAUGCCUGACAGAUACAUAAUCGAGCGGGAACAUAGCAUAGCAAUACUGUCACCUUACGGUGUGUAUCGCUGGGCAGUUGUACGCAAAAUGAGUAAAAGUGCCUCAUUUGGCCUGAGCAGGUGUUUAAAGCAUGUUUUAGAUGGUUUGGUGCAGCCUUGGUUCAUUGCUGGCCAGUUAUGGGCAAUGUGCAUAAAUGCACUCCAUUCACUGUCUUAUAGUUAUUGAUGGCAUUAAUAAGCGUGCCGUGCACAAUAAGUGUAUUUAGAUUAGCAUUUUCUUGGUCGAAUCUGCGUAUGUACGACGGUGUUUUAGGGCCACAAUGGGAAAAAAAAUCUGAGCUCUUGAAAGUAAAGUCAUAAAUUUACGAGAAAAAAAGACGUAAACUUACAAGAAUAAAGUCGUGAAAUUACAAGGAAAAAAAUCAUAAUGGUGCCUUUGCUUAAAGUCAGAGGUCACAUACUGUAAGUCCCCCUUUUCAUAGCUGUCUCAGGCAAAGUCUGUUAAGGCAGCGUAUUAAAAUAAUCUGAGAUUUCUGAGUCAGAAAUUUGUGAGAAAAAACCCGUAGCCUUAUGUUACAAGCAUUGCCUGAGACGGCUAUGAAAAGGAGGUGUUAUGGGACCUUUGGUCUUGGGCAUGUGGAGGGGGCAGGUUAAGUGAAUCGGGCUAGACACGCUAAUGUGUUUGUGCUCAACUGCUCUGUUUUGCUGCCACGUUAGAAAUAAAACCUUGCCUGAAGCAAGAGGAAAGGUUCCAUCCUUCCUGGAUGCUCUAUUUUCCCUCUGACACUUAUGACAUGUCAUAUUACUGUAUUCUCGUAAAAUUAGGAAUUUAUUAUUGUGAUAUUAUGACAUUUUUCUCAUAAAUUUACAACUUUAUUCUCAUAAAUUUAAGAAUUUAUUCUUGGAAAUGUACAACUUUUUUCCUUGUAAAUGUAUGACUUUAUUCUCAAAAUAGAGUUAUUCUCUAUAAUACAGUUAAACUGCACAUUUUGGAGGGGCCAACGUAAGGCACACCUGUGCAAUAAUCAUGCUGUCUCAUCAGCAUCUUGAUAUUCCACACCUGUCAGGUGGACAGAUUAUGAAUCAUGAACGCUCACUAACACAGAUUUAGACAGAUACUGUAUGUGAACAGUACUUGUGAGAGAGAGGCUUUUUGUGUACAUAGAAAAAGUUUUACAUCUUUUGAGUUCAGUUCAUGAAAAAUGGGAGCAAAAACAACAGUGUUGCUUUUAUAUUUUUGUCGAGUGGAUGGAUUGGAUGGAUGAAUGGAUGGAUUAUCUUUGUAAAGACAGUUUUUGAUAAAGCCUUUGUAUUGGGUCUCAUUAGAAUGUACAGGUGUACCUAUUGGCGAAAAAGAACAAUAGGAUGCUUACCUCUGAGCCCGGUAGAUGUAUUUAGAGUUCCCGGUGAGGCGAUAGAGCAGCAGGAAGACAUAAGCGCUGCCGGCCACUCCGUGACAGAUGCCAGGUCCUUUCUUCAGCAGACCUUUCUGCCACACCAGCUCUCCACUGCGGAUGCACGUGUCCAAGUACUGGGGCUUCUUGUUGAUGAGGUAGGCCUUGGCAAACAGAUAGGCCACACCUGUGCACCACAGGAUAGCAACAUGGAUUGAAGAGCUGUCUCUAAUAUUCCACCUGGCAGCACAGUUGCUUAGUUUGUUAGCAGGAUGACGCAGAAAAAAAUACUGAACCGCUUUCCAUGAACUGCAGACUGGUGGUGCGUGUGUCGAGUAAAAACCCAUUACAUUUUGGUGAUCUUACGAUUGAAGGUACGGUUUAUUAAUGUUACGGUCCACCUGCAUUGGUGUCAAGUGUGGUAGCAACCAACCACAUCCAACAGAUGAGCGCCAACUGCACCACUGGAGCGCAACCUUGACGUUUAUUGUACAGUCCUCCCUCGCUACAUCGCCUGUAAUUGCUGCAACCUCACUGUCAUCACAUUUUUUCACAAAUGUAUUAAUAAAUGAUCGCUGUUUUGUGGUUGAAUAUGGCCUAUUAUUAGUUAAAAAAUAUGUACAUGUAAGCAAAUUGUACAUAUUCUUGGCCUAAAUUAAGCAAGAAAUACAAGCCAUUCAGAAGAAGUGAUAUGUAGUGUAAUAUGUGACUUGUGUGUGCCUUGAAGAGGCGGGGCCUCGGGAAAGUGACAUGUGUGACAUCAGCUAGCUAGAGUUGACUGUGUUUAGCUGAGUGUUAGCGGAGUGGAGAGUGCAAGUGACUGGCCUGAGUUGUGGCCGACAGCAGCUCCUGCGUGACUUUUCACUGCAUAAGUGUUCUCUGCUUGUUAAUAAAGCGAAUGAAGUACA